GCCUCUGAGGAGUUUCUCACCAAAAGUUUUUCUCCUCCAGCCAGUUGCAGGGAACAUGAAAGGAAGGGGAAGCCCAGCCCGGCGCCGAGCAGGGAAUUCCCUACGGGAGCGAUGCUGUGACUAGCCCCUUCGGGAGCAAUUCUGCCAGCGCCAUCCAGCUCCACGCUCUCCAACUUUGCAGACCCGGCAAUCCCGCCAGCUCGGCAUGGAGACAAGGCAAAGGAGCCAGACUGCCUGCUUGACAGACGCGGAGGAGUUGCUGUGCGAUAGCUAAUGAAACAGUUUAAAGAAAACUCACACACCCCGUCCCCGAGAGGCUUGUUAUUUUCAGCGUGAAGCGGAGCCCACCCUCGCCGCCUCUGACCCCAGUGCACCCCUCUGCGUUGGACCCCGGCCGAGACCCUACAGCAGAGGGGAGCGGUGAGUCCCCCUGUGUCCACUGUGCCUUGGGGUGGCAUUUCUUUGCCUGCCGAGGUGAAGUGGGGAGGGACGGGGCGUCCCCAGAGCACCCUUAGCUGUGCUAGGGGGC